CUUUGGGGUGGAGUGGCUUAAUGAAUGGAUGUGUCCUCAGGCGACCUGCUUGUUUCAGUCCUUAUAGUGCAAGAGAUGGAUAAGGAAUUUUAUUGCAUUUUUUUUAUUUCACUAAUUUCAAUGUAUACAGGAGAGAGAGAGAGAGAGAGAAGAGGAUGAUGGGAGAUUAAGAGGAUUGAUAUGUGGUCAAGGUUUAUGAAUGAGGUUUGAAUACAUAACUGGAGAUGCUGCUUCUCUCUUAACGAGUGAAUUGGAGAUUUUAAAUGCUUUUAUACCAUCAUUACAAUCAUGCAGCAAAUACAGAGCAUGAGUCACUUUGACAAGUUGAAAUAUGAAACACAACAACUUAUUAUUUGUCACUCAGUUACAUAGUUCUAGUGAUUUACUCAAAGGGAUAUUCCGGCGUAAAAUUCAUUUAGGGUUAUUUAGGUUCUGCCUUAGUGUCUCGGUCUGAUUGCAUUUACAUAGAGAAAUGCUCAUAAAUGUUCUUCCUUGAGCUGCGUCACCCUGCUGUCCUCCGUAAUGGAUUGGCCCGAGGUCUCGCUACAAACAAGCGGCUGCUGGAAGAGAGUAGGUGAGUUGUGUUUAGUCUCUUUGCUAAAGAAAUUAGGCAAAGUGAAAAAGAUGUUUGGUGGCUAGUGCUGUGGCUGAGACCCUGUUUGUACUGUUGAUGAUGUUAGGUGCUGUUCUGAGUUUUAUCUGUGGCCAUAGUGGCUUUUUGGUUGAGGUUUGUGCUGGCUCCUCAGACCGCUGUGUAUUGCUAUCCUGUGGUCAUUACUAAAGUUGGUAUAACUAGAGAAGCAAGUGGUCGGCAACAUUCAUCUCUCGAGGGGGUGUCUAACUUGGUGUUGCUUGACCCUAAAUUAAUUUCACGCCGGAGUAUUUCUCUAAAAUUUAAACUUGCUAAAAACAACUUUAUGAUGCAAGUGUGUGUAGGGAAGUAAAAACUCAAACUUUGUCAAGUCAACAGAGGAAGAAAACUACUUUUGAAUGUUUGUUGAGUUUUGAUUUUGAAUUGAAUUUGUUGCUUUAAGCUGGGUCAGUUCAGUUUGGGUCAGUGUGGUGCCCCCUGUGGACAAAACAGUCCUUGCUUAUCUUGUCCUUUACAUGUAUUUUUUUUUUUUUAUAUAAAAAUCCCAUCUUAGUGACUUUUGAAAGUCAAAUGUAGUAUGUCUUGUGAAUAUUGACAUGCAAAUUGUAUUUGUGUCUUCACCCCCUCGGUCCUCACACUGGUUUGGACAUUAAAAAUUAGGGUAUUAAAAUCAUCAAUCUUGUCCCUGAAGGUCUUGUGUAUUUUUGGAUAUCAUAAGAAAGCGUCAUUGUGAAUUUCAGUCCACUUCUCAAAUGUAAAAUGAUCACAAACACUCUGUUGUCUUUUACUUUCUAUACAACAAGUUUUUCCUGCGCACACCAAAGCCCGAUGGCAUAUGAUUGGUUGAUACUGCCAAGACUGCAAACACACUGAGUUGCCUGGUCCUGAUACAAAACCAAACCCACCAUUAUUUUCUCUAAUGUUUCUCUAAAGCUUAUUAUUUUUGCUCACAUGACCCUGGAGCCCUGCUACAGUUUACACAUUGUAAAGCUUAUGGCCUCCAACCAACCAAGCUGCUGUAUUUGACGAGCUACACAUAAAAAGUAUAAAAACUUACACUCAUACUAUAAAGAUCCCACAAAAAACUUCUUCAUCUUCGACAAAGUUUUAUUUUCAAACUUCACUGUGAUCAUAAAAGAGUCGCACAAAUCCCAGAGCACCCAUCACAAUUAUGCGAUUAAAUCACCUCCCUUUUCAUUUAUUCUCUUCUUCCAUUAAAUCAUUCAUUGAUUUAUUUGGGAAGUGACUUCACGUUGUUCUGCAAGUUGCGUUGAUUUGUGAUUGUGAACGAGCUGAUGAAACAAACAUUAAAUGUCCCAGGAGAUUAACGGUUAUUUACAACCACAGUCGUGCUGCACAUAUGUAAAUGACGGUUUUAUGCACGGGCAGUCUGAAAUCUGAACGCACACACAUCUUUCUCUCCUCUGUCACCAUCUGAGUGGAGUCAAUUACGUCGUUAAUCUCGCAGUAACUUUUUCCAGAAUUCUCCACAGACACCCGAAAGAUCUGUUGUGAGUGUUGCUCUCCAGAACGGUAGCAGACAGCCCUCCUGUAGUGACAGACAAGAACAGACUAAACAUGACAAUGUUGAUUGAUUGGACCGUAGAUCCUUAACUCCCUGCUGGCACUGCAUGUGCCCGCCCACAUCGUGUUAAGAAGUCGAAAUGUGCCAAAAUGCUGCAGACAAAACACAGAAAGUCCGCUAAACCAAACACCAUGCACCACCUGGUCUGGGAAAGGAAAAAAAAAGGGGUCGACAGGAGUGAUGGAGAGUUGCUGCGCCUCACUGGAGCUGCUGACCUAAUUGGAGCAAUUGGAGAUGGACACUCACUGCCAUCAAUCACUGCACCUCUGAUGGAUUUUGGAAGGAUUUCAACGAGGGAAGAGGGACAGAAAAGAAAGGCAAUCAGGUGUACACUUGUGUGCAGACUUUGAGGGAUGGGGGUCGAAUUUGAAGCCUUGCCAAAGUUGGAUUUUCCUGUGGUGAAACCCGAGGCAUCUGAAACAGCAGGCUGCAGAGUCGGCAGACCUGGUUUUAGGGUUGCAGAGUUUUCAGAGGAGGGUCAAGGGGGAGUAGCUGGGGGGGGUGGCUUGUCAUCUGUAAUGGAGGAAUGUGGGGCCGUCUAGCGAGGGCAGGGUAUUCCCUUUCACACAGCGGUAAAAAAAAAAGAAAAGAAAAAGAAGGGCAGGAGGAGAGGGAAGGGCUGGGAGGAGUUGGGCCUCUUUCUCAGACGUUUGAGGGGCGGACGUCGUGUUCCAGUGGCCUAUUUUCAAUUCCUAGAAAAUCCAGACAUGCUGAGCCCUUUCAAGGUAACACUGCUGAACAACCUCCUGAUGCAGCACUCUCAGCUCCAGCCGUGUGAUCACUGGAAAUCUACUCUGGCAGAUUCAGCAAGUUUAAACCAGUUCACAACCAAUCAAGUAAAGCCAGUUUUAAUAAUCAAAAGUUGUCCGAUGAAGCUAAAACACACAAAACUAAUGCUUCAAUAACACUUUUUAUAAAUGUAGAGACCAUUUCUGUAAAGUUCUGUAAAAAGCAUUACAAUAAAUUUACAAUGCUGUGAAUAAACCACAUAAAAUGGAACAGGAGAACUGAGAAUUUUUACUCACAAAUCUACAAAAUGAAAGCUUGAAAUGAGACGCACGAUUGAUGUUCCUGUGGAAAAAAAAAGUGGAUUCUACAGUUUCUACAAAGGCCACAAAGAUGUUGAAAAACAGCUCACAAAAAAGGCAACUUCCAAUCAGUCGAAUAAGCUUCUUAACAAUCUGUCUUAUAUACUAAAUUGUGUGUAAGAGCAGAUUUACGGUAAAUUGUUGUGUGUCAUAACUGUGACGGGUCAGCCUAUAAAGGGUGGGAACCUUUGGGGGCUCGUCAGGUGUUUCCUACCGGAACGAGGGAAACAGUUUUUGACCGCUGACGCUGACGGGGAAGCAUGUUUGAAAUGUUUGUGUGAGAAUGAGAAUCAGAUGUCAAAUAAAUUGACUUAUUUGCAUCUUAAACAACAAUCAGCUAGACUCUCAUUCAUCCGCAAGGUAAAGUUACAGCGCGUCAAGAGAGGUUCCUGUUUGAAAUGCCUCAGUAGCUUAAAGCAUGGAUUAGCUUCUACAUUCUGACAAAGUAACAUAACAUAACAAUACCAUAACAAAUACCGUAACAAAAUACGAAUACAAAUCAAGGCAAAGAAAAGAGCCGGUUGACACUGUGGUAAAAGUGUUUGAUUCCCUGACUUCUGGAGGAUAUUUUUGAUAAAAGAGCAGAGUUAGUGAGUGCAGCUCAAAGUUCGAGAAGUCAGUGGAAUAGUGAACUGUUUCUAGGAAGGUUGGGGGUUUGAUCCCAUGUCUUGCAGCAGCCUCUGCCACUAAUGUAAGAAGAUGGGUGAUUGUGACAUGUAAUGGCGAGGUCAGAAGUCGGGUGAAAGUAUUACAUAUGCACAGUCCAGGGACCGUAUUACGAAAGCCGAGAUCAUUAUCAGUUUUCUGCAAGUUAACACUCAAAAUGAGCCAACUCAAAGCUCAGUUAACACAAGUCAGAUUGAUUUGCAUGUAAGGAAGAGAAAAUUGAUCCCUUACUGCACUACCAUGGUAUGUUAGUCCAAUUUGAUUUACUGUGAUUUCAGUUGGACUAACAUACUUUUUUAAAAGUCCAGUUUUUUUGCUAGCUGCACCUUAACUCUCUCCCAGUAGAGCACCCUAUGCUUCAAUUCCUGGCCGUCGAUCAUUGACAUUUCCAAAACCAAAUGAUUUACUGUAUCAUUGAAAGAAAUCAAGUUUAAAAGCCAAGAUAAUCCCAUUUGAGUGUGUUUAACAAGUCAAACAUGGGAAACAGCGGGGAGCUUUGAAAAAUAAGCCAAAUUAAUAUCUUGGCUCGAAUACUUGACCAGAGGUCCUGACUUUAAUGUAUACACAGAGGAAAUCUGCCUCAUAAAAGUAAAUGUGGGAUGACACAAAAUCAUGAAUCAUUUUCCAGUCUGAAAUAGUUAAACCUCUCUAAAGAGUUGUUGGAAUCUGUCCUGGUUUGCUUGUAAAACUCCAUCAGAUGUUUACAGGAGCUGGUUUAACACUUCUGUCUGCUCGUUUACAUACAUCUUUUUCAAUCAGGAGAAUUUCGUGUCAACUUGUUUGGAUCUUAGAGUUCAAGUGAGGGUCUUUCUCAUCCUGUCCAGACCCUGUCUUUUCAUUUACAUUGUACCUUUUUUUUCCCUAUUCCAGCCCUGAUUCAUCUAUGUUAUUCUUUGUUGUUUUAUUUCUUACAGACUCACGCCCAGAGUCCUCACAGCUGCUUCCACAGGACAGUGAAAGUGCAGCAGAGGAUCAGAGAAAGAUGCCACACAGAUGUGAGCCCACAUGUGUUUUGUGAAGGAGGUCUAACUAUCGACAGCCAAGGAUGAGCUCCAAAUGUGGAAUGCCAUUAACAAGAUCAAUGUCUUCCUCUGCGAAUACGGUAUGUUCGCAUGUUUUAUGGCUACAGGGUUUGAAGAUGGGAGCGCUGAUGUCAGGUGGAGUUCCACAGGGUAGCGUUUCGGUUCAUCUGCGGUUCAUUUCACUGGAGGCUCCCUCCUGUGCGAGCAGAUCGACGUGACUCUUGUAGGUGUGCGCUUGGAUGUGUGUGCAAGUCUGUAUGUGUUUGACCGUGGGUGUGUGUGUGAGUGUGAAGUAUCCAAACUGUGAUUCACUGAUAUCAGUUGAUCUUGAUUUGCCUACUCUUUUUUGUAUCCUACACAAAAGCCACAGGCACACACCUUUCUCCUCUUACUCUGCUCUUUCAUUCCUGCGCUCCUGAUUUCCCUUUCUAGUCAUACUCUAUUGUCACAAUGACAUAAUUAGGAACACUUUUUGGCACGUGUUUGAAGAAAAAAAAAAAGAGGGGUCCUUUAAAUUGGAGACCUUACAACCUUUGCCCCCCGGCAUCUGUCAGCAACAUCAAAUAGAAACUCAAAAAAUACACCCGAGUUGUAUUUAUUUUGGUGUAAUCAUUAGGAUUAAGCCGGUGCAGAAACGCAUUAAUUCCUAAUCCUCCCCGUGUCCCCUCUCCCUAUCCCAUCUCCACCCUUUGCCCCCCCUCCGAUCUCUCCUUUCUCCUCCUUUUUCCUCCCUCCGUCUUUUCCUCCCAUGCUUUACAGCACCAAACGCUUUUAAUUUGUUAGGGAGGGGUGGAGGGGGUUAGUUGGAGGCACUCGUUCGGAGCAGCUUUGAGCCUCUGCCAAGCUCUCGUUCGCAUUGUGCUGCUUACAGCUGGGCUUGCCCUCCUUCCCUGCUCUCUCCUUCUUUCUUUGCUCUGUUCUUCGUCUCUUUUUUUUUCUCCUCUCUUUUAUUCCAUGUGCAGCCCCCUGUCUGCUUUUCUUGAUGGUUUCUGCUACGGGGGAGUUUGGGGAGAAGAAGGGGGUCACUUGUCAUGGGGCCAACUUUCGGGGUUUCUUUCCCUUGUGCAUGGACACACACACGCACACAAAAAGACACUCACGCACACAUGCAGGCGCACAGACACUCACACACACCAGUGGCAAUAAACACAGAGGCAGUGCGGGGAUAAGAGGGGGAGGAAAGAGACAAAGAAAGGGGAGAAGGAGGUGAAAGGGGGCAACAUGGCACACUCUUUCCAGGCACCCUUGCAGCUCCACUUUCACUUUUUUCUUUCAAGGUUUUUAAAAGUCUGAGACAGAAGAGUAGAAAGCAGAGAAUGUGUCAGAGAUAAACUAAGACAUAGACCGUAGAAAGACAUGAUCGUUGGAUGAAAAGGAGCAGUUUCACACGGAGAAGAGCAUACUGAAGUGUAAGAGAAGAGGAGAUAGAGAGAGAGAGAGGGAGAAAGAUGAAACGACGGAGAUAAAGAAGGGUAGAAAGAGAGGAGGAGGCAGCAGAGAAACUCCAAUAAAGGCUCCGAUCAGAUAAAAGCAUCUCUGAGGACUUUCAAAUGUCCUUUUAUCUGGGUGAGAAAUGCUGAUAUCAAAAAGUAGACGGAGAAAGCGCGUCUUUACCAAGAAGUGACUUAUUACUGCUAAUUGGAUCAGAAAAUACUCAUCCAGCACACUUAGUGACUAAAGUUUCCUCCUCUGACGUCUCAUUGUGUUCCUCUGACAGCAUAUUGUGGCUUCUGAGAAGACUGGAAGUAAAGAGGAGUGACACACUGGCAGAUAGAAACCACACGCUUAGUCAGGGCUUACUGAGUCAUCUCCGCUUGUCAGGUUAUCCCACAGUGUCAGGUGUGGACAUUGUGAGGAUGCCAGAUGUCGCCUACGUGGUGAAAGACGCUUUUAGUUCUGUUUGAAUGGAGAAGAAAAGCAACAAGUUUUUACACAAUGCCAGAUUAUACGUGAUUCAAGUCAAACUGUUGAUCUGAAAGGGGAGCAACGGAUGAUUCUGCUCUUACUGGAAAAACACGCACAAAGGAUCCUCUUUGAUUAUUUGUUGUCCCACCGGCAGCCAAUAAAAAAUCCAGUAACUUUUAAUUGUUGUCAUUAUUAUUGAUACACUUUAUACACUUCUAGGGAAAAAAAAGACUCCAAGACAUUUCAUGUGAUGAUACGACUUACAUUUGGUUCAGCACGACCCAAUAAACUGUGUAAUAAACCUGACAAGGCCUUGCAAUCUUGCAAUCUGUGCACUCUCACUAAAAAGCACAUGACUAAGAAACAGUGAUCAGCUGGUGCCAUAUGCAGAUGACAGUUGUCAUCUUAAUAAAAAGACAUAUUAAUCACUUCAGUAGGAGAGAUAAAAUUUUCCUUAAAAUGGAUGGAAAAGAUUUGUGUUUUUAAGGGUGUUGGUGCAGCUUUAUACUAGAUAGAGUUAGCUACAGUAUAAAGUAGGGUGACCGUAUGUCCUCUUUUACCCAGACAUGUCCUCUUUUUGGGGGGGCUGUCGAGGAUGUUCAGUCUUAUCCGGGGAAGUUCAUAAAAUACUUAAAAUGUCGGGGGUUUUGAAUGGAAGUUUCGAGUUUGUGUCACAUGGACUUCCUGAGUUAGAAGCACGUAAAAGACACUCGAUCCAACCCGAAAAACUCUCAAAAUUAACUUUGUGCAACUCCAUGACUCCACCCAGGAUACAUAGUCAUGUCCUCUUUUUGGGGAUUCAGAAUAUGGUCAUCCUAGUAUAAAGCUACAGUAAGGAGUUUUCCUGGCCAGCAUUUCUAACACAGCAGCCACCAUCACUUGGCUUAGUACCCUCUUUUUUUAGAAAUGGGUGAUGUCAGUGAGACUCUGUCCAGCUGAUCAGUCUGUGAUUUUGAAUUUAAAGCUUUUUUUUCCCCUUUAAUGACCCAAACACAAAGAUGCAAGACGUCUGAACAAACUGGUGAAAAAGGCUGGCUCUGUGGUUGGACUCAAGCUGGACUCAGUGGAGGAUGUGGUGAGGAGAUCUACAUUAAGGAAGGUGGAGACUAUUCUAAAGAACAUGGAUCACCCACUUCACAACACCUUGGUGGACCAAAGGGCCAAAGGGCCAAUGGUGGUGGACGGCUCCUCUCUGUUCAACACGACUUUUUCCACAUCAAUUUACAGUUUAUGAUUAAUUUCAUCAGGAGGAACGUACCAAGUGCUAAUGGGGGUGUUUUCAGAGCACCCCCAGUUCCACAUGUAACAGCUUGUCUCAGAACCCCCCUUCCUUGUUUUCACCAUUUUGGAUUCGCCCAACCCACUGGAGACAGGAAGAUUGAAGAGCGCCCACGUUAAUCAACGUCCUGUGGUUUGCUGAAUAUUUAUUUUUUAUUUUGAGAGUUUCAACUUUCAUGUCAGUCCUCCUCUACCAUCCAUGUCAAAGACAUUGGCCGAGCCGUCGAAAAUUUCAGGGUUUUUUCAGGGUUUUCAGGGUUAAUGCGUGUAAAUCAGCAGGUUAUUGAAAUGGGUUCAUGAGAAAUGCUAGAAAUUCUUGUGUGACAUGAUGAAAGCUUGCAAGAACAGCAGCACAGAGGCCUGUUGAGCUCUCCAGCAGCCACACUCUUACACACACACACACACACACACAUAUACACACACUCUCUACAACACGUGGAGGGAGUUAAGUGAAACAAUGUGCUCAUGAUGUACUCAGCAGAAACACACAUAUGUAAAUGUCUUCUCGCCAGAGCUCAGAGCAGUCGGACCCUCCUCAGCUCUCUUGAAAGUGAAGGAGGAAGCAUGACCGUGCCAUGACUCCUCCAGGCUUACAUUUCCCUCUAAUCGCCUGGGAAAACAGGAAAUUGCGGUCUUGGAAAAUGCAAUGUUUAUACUAAGGUCACAUAUACACGAGAUCCCCCUCCUCCCCCACCAGCUCCUCCCUCCUUUUGUUAUUUGAUUUUCCUAUUUUUUCUUUGAUCCUUGUUGCCUUGUUGAUGUGAUUGUAAGAGCCGACAAUUUUUAACUACCACAGGGAACUUGAUUUAAAGGCGAUUGUUUGGACUUUGAUUGCUGCAGUUUCAUCACACAGCAAAAGUAACUUUGGAGGAGAAAUCAGAUUAUCCGGGCUAAACUCUGCUGCUAAAUAAGUUAAAACCACACUGUUCAACAGCGUGAGCAAGAGCAUAUAAGAAGAUUUCUGCUCCAACUUUUGGAGAAUUACAACCCCAAUAAAAAAGAAAUGUAGGAAUGCUGCGAACAAUGUUGAUAAAAACAGAAUUAAGAUGGUUCUCAUAUCAUUUAAACCUCAUUUUAGAAAAAAAAGCAUAAAAUUAAUCCUCAAAAUAUUAAAACAUGAUUUUUUUCAUCAUUUUAUAAUAUUCUGUGAGAGACUGUGUGAGUAAAUAUUGCAACGGUUUCCAGAUAUUAUUGCUCUGCUUGAAUAAAUAGAUUAUUUCAUCAGCUGUACUUAAUAUUAUUAAAAGAAGAGAGUCCGGAGAAAUCUCUCACAUAAACAGUGAAAAAUUGCUCUGUAGUGGAUAUCACUGCAUGGGCUAUUAUAUUAUUUUAUUUUAUUAUCAUUAUUGAUAAUGUCUGUUUAUAUUUGCUAUCCUGUUUUCUGCUUUCAACACCCUUUUAUGUUGCAUUUUCUUUCUCCUCAUGGUCUUAUUUUAUGUUGCAUGGUUCUUGUAUUGUCUGGGUUUCCUAUGACAUAUGAAAAUAGCCUUUGAAUUUGUAGGCCUUGGUUUGAACUGUGCUUUUUGUUUUCAUUUCUUUAUGCUGAAGAUCUUGUGCUUUGAGACUAUUGUUUAAAGCACUCUUUAAACCUCUGUUUUUUUAAAAGUGCUAUACAAAUAAAAUUAUUAUUAUUAUUAUUAUUAUUAUUAUUAUUAUUAUUAUUAUUAUUAUUAUUAUUAUUAUAUGCUCAAAAUUAAUCAAAUCAUUUCUAUUUUCUGUGAGGUCAGUUUGUUGCUGGAUUCAAAAGUACAAGUAAAAUUUGUAUCAUGCAAAAGCAGAAACCGUAAAUACUCUGGGUCUGAGUCAGUUGAGUUGGUAGAGGCAGGGUAGAAAAGUGUUUCAUGGUCUUACUCACGUAAAUGUGACUUUAUUUUUCUUUGACCUGUCCUCUGCUCUUUAGAGGGGGAAGACCACCGGGGUUGCUCCCAGGAAACACUUCUAAAGCCAGCAUCUGUGAUGGUAUGGGGGUGCAUAAGUGUCCGCCUGCGUGGGCAUCUUACACAUCUGGGAGGACACCAUAAACGCCAAUAACACAUGUGAGAUUUGGAGACAUCCAGGAGAUCCUUGCACGCUCCAGCAAGAUAAUGCCAGACCACAUUCUGCAAAUCUCACAACAGCAUGGAUAAAAGUUGUAGAAGUGCUGGGCUCUCACUUGGUCUGACUUGUCACACAUUGUAAAUAUUUGGUGAAAAGAAAAAUACAACAAAGGACUGUUUGAGCAACUGAAUUCCUUUAUCAGACAAGACUGGAUAACAUUUCACUCUCAAAACUCCAGAAACUCCACUGGUCUCGUCAGUUUCUUGGUUUUACAGUGUGUUGUGAAGAAAACCAUCUGUUAUUUUGAAGUGGGGUUGUAUGAGGUACUUGUCAACAGUAAGAAUUGUAGCCACAGGAGAUGCCAGUCAGCCUGGUCCCUCUGCUGAAAAACAGUAUUUCUAUUCAGACAGUGUUUCAAACUGAAGGUUUUUAUUAAUUUGCAAACCAUCAGAUUUUGUUUUCAUUAACAUUUCACACAGUGUCUCAACCUUUUUGGAGCUGAGGUUGUAAAUGCAAACUUAGCAGGGCAGGAUUCAAAUCCAGCUCUGUGUUACCAUCACAUCUGUCAUCCUCCAUCCAUGAAAGACUUCAACCUCCAAGGCCAAAGUUGGCUCACGUCCAGUCAUGUGUGGGCUCUGGUCCUCCACCUCCUCGUCCCCCUUUUUUUAUCCACUCCAGCUCUUAACAUUGACGAGACAAUCUCAACAUAAAAGCAUCUCUUUAGUCACAUAUCAUUUUUGUUCUUGGUGUAUCUUGUCCUCUAUCUGCUUGAAUCAUGCGCACACAUACCUGCAUGUUCCCCCGCCUUCGCCUCUGCCCCCGUCCCACCUGUAACCCAACCUGCACCGCUUCCUGAUCCUCGCCAUCAAUCACGCCGCUCCUUCUUCUCUACAGCUUUCACACUGGCCUCGAGCCCUUACUCCCCAUUUCAUGGAUCAUGGACCUCCUGCAUACUUCUAUGCACUGUUGUGUGUGUGUGUGUCUGUGUGUAUGUGUGCGCACACGUGUGCGUGUGUUUGUUUGAAUGAUGAGAAACAGAAACAGAGAGGGAGAGAGGUGUAACUUGAUCUUUGGACAUCUUGAGUGCCUUGCCUCCGCUUCGUUCUCCUUGAAGGGAAGUGAAUGGCAGACAGGUGAACACACCUGGAGCCCUGAGGCGUCACAUGCACACACACACACACACGCACACGCACACACACACACACACACAAACACCCUCUCCAUUCCACAGCCUGUGCUAAUACCUCUCCCAAAGCUGGGGGAGUUAAGGGGCAAACCUCUUUGGUGUCUCUUUUACAGGGUUGUGAAGUGCUGACAGUUGCACAUUAUGAAGACAAAUUGAGGCCCUGCAGUUAUGUGCGUCUCCAGUCAUCAUAGAUAGAUGUUUCAAAACACUCAGAGGGUAAUCUCGAUGGAACCGCAGACUUUUUUUAGGGCAAAUCUCUGUAUUCUUGACUGACAGGAUCCAAGGAUGAUGAGUGAGGAAAGUGAUAGAAAAAUUUCUGAAUGAUUUUUCUGUAUUUAAGUGAUGUAUGAAAAAAUAAUGAAAGGAGCACAGGAAUGACACGGUGGGCUGAAAGUGACAACCUGGAAGAGAGAAAGAAAAAAGAAAUAAAGUAAAACAGAAAAAAAGAAAGACAAAGACAAAAAGAAAGAAAAAAGAAAAACAAAAAAAGGAAAACAAAGGAAGAAAGAAAGACGAAAAAGAAAAACAGAAAGAAAGAAAGAAAGGAGGAAAUAAAAAGAAGGAAAGAAGGAAAGAAAGAAGAACAGAGAGAAGAUGAAGGAAAGAAAAAGAGAGAAAGAAAAAAAGGAAAAACAGACAGACAAAGGAGAAAGAAAGAAAAACAAAGGAAUGAACAAAAAGGAAAAGGGACAAAGAAAGAAAGAAUAUGGAAAUAAGAUAGAAAGAUGAAGAAAAAAAACAAAGAAAAAAGAAAGGAGGAAAGAAGAACGGAAAGAAAGACAAAGAAAAACAGUGAGAAAGACAAAAAAGAAAGAAGGAAAGAAAGAAAGGCAAAAAGACAGAAGGAAAGAAGACGAAGAAAAACAAAAACAGAGAGUAAAGAAAAAAAGACCAAGAAAAAAUUGACAAAGAAGAAAGAAAGAAAAACAGAAAGACAAAGGAAGGAAAAAAAGAAAGAAUGAAAAAGAAAGAAGGACAGAAAGAAAGAUGGGGAGGAAGAAAGACAGAAAGAAGACUAAGAAAGGCAGAAAGAUAAAGAAAGAAAGAAAAAACAAAAGAACGAAAAAGAAAGAAAGAAGAAAAGGACAAACAGAGAAAGAAAGAAAGAAAGAAAGAGAAAGAAAGAAGACCCUUUAAACUCUGUAAGAUCUCUCUGAGUCAUGUGAAGCAGCUGCAGAGCAGGUUGACUUGAUACAUGGUCCCGUCACAUUUGUAUAAAAAUAUAGAUUUUUUAAUAUAGUGUCAGCAGCAGGAGGGCAGACAGGGGUUAAGUGGUCACACAGAGUCGGUUUACCCAGCAAGCCUUGAUUUAGUCUGUGGUGAAGGGCAGAGCUAUCAUUAGGAGCUCACCAGGCUCACCACCACUACACACUGAUAAUCUCCUGCCUGCUGCAGAGGAGACGCUGGUGCGGGGAAAGUUUGGUCAAACUUUAAACUGCAGGAAAUAAAAACCUGCAUUAGUUUCUGUCCCUGCAGAGAGAGGAGAGAAAAACAUGGAGGGUCAUUUAGUGUGAAUAUUUUCCACAGAAGAGCUCAAAUAAAGCUGUUUCUUCAGCCUGCAGCCUGCUACCCCCUCACAGCUGCACCAAAAAUCACUAUUGAAUAAAAUUCUGCCAUACUGCCAAUGACCUUGUUCGCUUUUGAAGAUUAUAAAAAGACAUCAGUAUCGGUUUUAGUCUGCUUCUCAACCGGUUAAGAACUCCUUACUGUGCCUUUAAAACUAAAAAAAGGUUAAACUUCAAUCGGUAAAAGCUCAUUAUGUUUUUUGGGGGGGUUUCAAAAGCGGAGAAGGAUCUAGUGAGUCUGACCUCCUCAGAGUGGGGGCCAUAUCGCUGUCUUGGAAACGUAUCCCUGAAACCCAAACUUUUUAUGACUUGAGUAUUAGUUUUCAACCUUCUCAGGUUGUAUUUCUCAGUCAAUGGACUUUAUGUGGUCUGUUUUGUCUUAUUGUGUAUAAUCAGUGCACAUUUUUUAUCUUUGUCCAAGAUGUAGUCCCUGUGAUAUCCGUUCUGAAGGAGUAUUAUCAAGCCAGAUUACAGUAAUCGCCAUAUUUGUAGUAUGUCUCCUUGCAAACAGCUGCAUUGUGCCAACUUGAAACUUGGUUUUACCUCAAACUGUAAAUCUA
rnacentral:lncRNA from 1 species